AUUGAACGCUGGCGGCAUGCCUAACACAUGCAAGUCGAACGGUAACGCGGAGAGCUUGCUCUCUGGCGACGAGUGGCGGACGGGUGAGUAAUACUUAGGAAUCUGCCCAGUAGUGGGGGACAACAUUCGGAAACGGAUGCUAAUACCGCAUACGCACUACGGUGGAAAGUGGGGGACCUUCGGGCCUCACGCUAUUGGAUGAGCCUAAGUCGGAUUAGCUUGUUGGUGAGGUAAUAGCUCACCAAGGCGGCGAUCCGUAGCUGGUCUGAGAGGACGAUCAGCCACACUGGGACUGAGACACGGCCCAGACUCCUACGGGAGGCAGCAGUGGGGAAUAUUGGACAAUGGGCGCAAGCCUGAUCCAGCAAUGCCGCGUGUGUGAAGAAGGCCUGCGGGUUGUAAAGCACUUUCAGUAGAGAAGAAAAGCCUAGGGUUAAUACCCCUGAGUCUUGACGUAACCUACAGAAGAAGCACCGGCUAACUCCGUG
rnacentral:rRNA from 1 species